rnacentral:rRNA from 1 species
AGUGAACGCUGGCGGCAGGCCUAAUACAUGCAAGUCGAACGGCAGCACAGCAGAGCUUGCUCUGUGGGUGGCGAGUGGCGGACGGGUGAGGAAUACAUGGGAAUCUGCCCAGUCGUGGGGGAUAACGUAUGGAAACGUACGCUAAUACCGCAUGCGCCCUACGGGGGAAAGUCGGGGACCGCAAGGCCUGACGCGAUUGGAUGAGCCCAUGUUCGAUUAGCUAGUUGGCGGGGUAAAGGCCCACCAAGGCGACGAUCGAUAGCUGGUCUGAGAGGAUGAUCAGCCCACACUGGAACUGAGACACGGUCCAGACUCCUACGGGAGGCAGCAGUAGGGAAUAUUGGACAAUGGGGGCAACCCUGAUCCAGCCAUGCCGCGUGAGUGAAGAAGGCCCUCGGGUUGUAAAGCUCUUUUGUCCGGAAGAAAAGCAAUCGGUUAAUACCGGUUGUUCUGACGGUA